CACUAUCGUUAACUGAAUACAUAGGUUAACGAGGCGAACCGGGGGAACUGAAACAUCUAAGUACCCCGAGGAAAAGAAAUCAACCGAGAUUCCCCCAGUAGCGGCGAGCGAACGGGGAGCAGCCCAGAGUCUGAAUCAGCUUGUGUGUUAGUGGAACGGUCUGGAAAGUCCGACGGUACAGGGUGAUAGUCCCGUACACCAAAAUGCACAGGCUGUGAACUCGAAGAGUAGGGCGGGACACGUGGUAUCCUGUCUGAAUAUGGGGGGACCAUCCUCCAAGGCUAAAUACUCCUGACUGACCGAUAGUGAACCAGUACCGUGAGGGAAAGGCGAAAAGAACCCCGGCGAGGGGAGUGAAAAAGAACCUGAAACCGUGUACGUACAAGCAGUGGGAGCACCUUCGGGUGUGACUGCGUACCUUUUGUAUAAUGGGUCAGCGACUUAUAUUCUGUAGCAAGGUUAACCGUAUAGGGGAGCCGCAGGGAAACCGAGUCUUAACUGGGCGUUAAGUUGCAGGGUAUAGACCCGAAACCCGGUGAUCUAGCCAUGGGCAGGUUGAAGGUUGGGUAACACUAACUGGAGGACCGAACCGACUAAUGUUGAAAAAUUAGCGGAUGACUUGUGGCUGGGGGUGAAAGGCCAAUCAAACCGGGAGAUAGCUGGUUCUCCCCGAAAGCUAUUUAGGUAGCGCCUCGUGAACUCAUCUUCGGGGGUAGAGCACUGUUUCGGCUAGGGGGUCAUCCCGACUUACCAACCCGAUGCAAACUACGAAUACCGAAGAAUGUUAUCACGGGAGACACACGGCGGGUGCUAACGUCCGUCGUGAAGAGGGAAACAACCCAGACCGCCAGCUAAGGUCCCAAAGUCAUGGUUAAGUGGGAAACGAUGUGGGAAGGCACAGACAGCCAGGAUGUUGGCUUAGAAGCAGCCAUCAUUUAAAGAAAGCGUAAUAGCUCACUGGUCGAGUCGGCCUGCGCGGAAGAUGUAACGGGGCUAAACCAUGCACCGAAGCUGCGGCAGCGACACUAUGUGUUGUUGGGUAGGGGAGCGUUCUGUAAGCCUGCGAAGGUGACCUGUGAGGGUUGCUGGAGGUAUCAGAAGU
rnacentral:rRNA from 1 species